rnacentral:rRNA from 1 species
CCUACGGGAGGCAGCAGUAGGGAAUAUUGGGCAAUGGAGGCAACUCUGACCCAGCCAUGCCGCGUGCAGGAUGAAGGCGUUAUGCGUUGUAAACUGCUUUUAUAUAGGAAGAAAGAGUUCUUGCGAGAACAGUUGACGGUACUAUAUGAAUAAGCACCGGCUAACUCCGUGCCAGCAGCCGCGGUAAUACGGAGGGUGCAAGCGUUGUCCGGAUUUAUUGGGUUUAAAGGGUGCGUAGGCGGUUUAUUAAGUCAGUGGUGAAAGACGGUCGCUCAACGAUUGCAGUGCCAUUGAUACUGGUAGACUUGAGUGAGAUUGAGGUAGCUGGAAUGGAUAGUGUAGCGGUGAAAUGCAUAGAUAUUAUCCAGAACACCAAUUGCGUAGGCAAGUUACUAAGUCUCAACUGACGCUGAGGCACGAAAGUGUGGGUAUCAAACAGGAUUAGAUACCCUGGUAGUCCACACUGUAAACGAUGAUAACUAACUGUUGGCUUUCGGGUCAGUGGUACAGAGAAAUCGUUAAGUUAUCCACCUGGGGAGUACGCCGGCAACGGUGAAACUUAAAGGAAUUGAGG